ensembl:misc_RNA Metazoa_SRP Metazoan signal recognition particle RNA
GCCAGGUGCAGUGGCGCGUGCCUGUAGUCCCAGCUACUCGGGAGGCUGAGGCUGGAGGAUCACUUGAGUCCAGGAGUUCUGCUGUAGUGCACUAUGCCAAUCGGGUGUCCACACUAAGUUCGGCAUCAAUAUGGUGGCCUCACAGGAGCGGGGGACCACCAGGUUGCCUAAGGAGGGGUGAACUGGCCCAGGUUGGAAACAGAGCAGGUCAAAACUCCCAUGCUGAUCAGUAGUGGGACUGAGCCUGUGAAUAGCCACUGCACUCCAGCCUGGGCAACAUAGCGAGACCCCUUCUCU